ensembl:snRNA U6 U6 spliceosomal RNA
GUAUUUAUCUCAAGGUGCCCAUUUUUUUUGGAACAAUAAAGAGAAGAUUAGCAUGGCCCCUGUGUAAGAAUGACACGCAAAUUUGUGAAGCGUUAUAUACAUAU